rnacentral:rRNA from 1 species
UACGUAGGGGGCUAGCGUUGUCCGGAUUUAUUGGGCGUAAAGAGCGUGUAGGCGGCCAGGUAGGUCCGCUGUGAAAGUCCGAGGCUCAACCUCGGAAUGUCGGCGGAAACCCUCUGGCUAGAGUCCGGAAGAGGAGAGUGGAAUUCCCGGUGUAGCGGUGAAAUGCGCAGAUAUCGGGAAGAACACCCGUGGCGAAGGCGGCUCUCUGGAACGGUACUGACGCUGAGACGCGAAAGCUAGGGUAGCAAACAGG